rnacentral:rRNA from 1 species
CCUACGGGAGGCAGCAGUAGGGAAUCUUGCGCAAUGGGCGAAAGCCUGACGCCGCAACGCCGCGUGAUCGAGACGCCCUUCGGGGUGUAAAGAUCUGUCUGUGGGGACGAAACUUGACGGUACCCACAGAGGAAGCACCGGCUAACUCCGUGCCAGCAGCCGCGGGAAUACGGCGGGUGCAAGCGUGGUCCGGAAGCAUUGGGCGUAAAGAGUUCGUAGGCGGUACGUAAAGGCUGGUGUGAAAGGCGUAGGCUCAACCUCUGUACGGCACUGGAUACUUGCGAGCUAGAAUGCGGUAGAGGUGAGGGGAAUUCCUGGUGUAGCGGUGAAAUGCUUAGAUAUCAGGAGGAACAUCGGUGGCGAAGGCGCUUUACUGGGCCGUAAUUGACGCUGAGGAACGAAAGCCAGGGUAGCAAAUGGGAUUAGAUACCCCAGUAGUC